CAAACUACUACUGUUGGGGCUACAAUUGGUUACCAAGUUUUGUGGCCAACUGAUUUGGUCAUCAUCCGUACUCCCAUCUUAGCAUCUAAGAAAGCAAAGAAACAAAAAGUAAAUGAAGUUGAAGUCAAAUCCAAGGGUGAAAAACCACAAGAUAUGAAAAAUUUUGAGACAUUGGUUGGCCUCAUGCUGAGUACAUCAAGAGCACACCCUAUAAACUUCCCAGAUGAUGUUUUUGGUGAGAGUUGCAAGACCUUCAUGAUGAAAGAAGAUAUGGAAAUGAUAAUAUCAUUAAAAGAAGUGUCAUCCAAUUGUAUUUUAUACUACAUCUGGCAUUUGCAUAGAAAGUUGAUUGAUGCAAAGCAGGCCGAACGAUAUGUUUUUGUCAAUCCGGCAUUGGUCUCAAAAGCUGGAAUGGGAGA